rnacentral:rRNA from 1 species
GUCUACGGCCAUACCACCCUGAACGCACCCGAUCUCGUCUGAUCUCGGAAGCUAAGCAGGGUCGGGCCUGUUUAGUACUUGGAUGGGAGAAAAAAGAUUUAGGCA